UCCCAUUUGCAAUUCUCUGUGUUACUUUUUCAGUGACCAUAGAAGCUGUGUGUGGAACGCGGUAGAGCCACAGGAUGGAAAGGUAUCAGUUCCCUAAUCAAAGAGAAGAGCCGACUACCAAUCGGGAACACCCAUUUUGGACUUUAGGUGAAGCUUCAUCAAAUCACAUCAUGUGACUCUCCAGGAACCUCACUGAACGGGUCUGACUCAUCGUCUGGGAAUUUUAAAUAGGCAUGUGCUUCCAUGAGAGUUAAUACUUAAAAAUACACAUACACACAAACUGGCAGUGAAAGAGAGCAAAAAAAGAAAAAAAAAAAAAGAAAAAGAAAAAAACAAGUGAAGCUUUUGCUUGGCACAAACACUCAGGUCAGACACUGGCCACUCAAUAUUUCACAGUUAAUUACCAGGUGGAAUUACCUUUAGAGUGAAGGUGGUGGCUCAGUGCUCAGGGGGCAGAGGCAGUAAAUCUACAGUUUAUAUCAUUAAGUCAGGCAGGUUGGAUUAAGCAGUGAAAGGGACUGCCCCUGAAAUCGUUGACCCUGAUUCCCCUCUGUGAUAUAAAAUUUUCCUGAGAACCAAGGGCUGUGUCUGCCCACUAGUGGUCAGGUGGCAGAGCUGGUGGGACCCAGACAUUCCCUAGAGGAUUUUAUGCCAAGUUCUAUCUGGAUCAGUUGGGAGUUGGCCCUGGCCUCCCAGUCUGCUUUUUAAAAAGCAUUUUGAGAUCUAUCAGCUCAGCCCCAUGAGAUAAGUCAGUAAGAAUAACACAGCCUAUGUCAAUCUUGAGGGAAGGUUUCUGUUUGUGAUAGUUACCUUAAACUCUUAUUAAUGAUGAGUAAUUGCACUAGGAACUAACAUUUCUAAUCUAUUACCAAAAGAUCACUUGAGUCAGUAACACUCAGUAAAGACUAAUCACUUUUUUCUCUCUUCCCAGACCUUCAUAGAAUACCACAAUGAUGUUUUUCUAUUUGAAAACUACGAAAUGUUCUCCCAUCGUUAAAAGAAUUAAUUUAUAAAAUUUUAAGUUAGAAUUAAAAGUCUUUUACUUAAUUGGC